GACGUAGGGCGCGAGCGUUGUCCGGAUUUAUUGGGCGUAAAGAGCUCGUAGGCGGCUCGUUGCGUCAAUCGUGAAACCUACUGCUUAACGGUGGGCUUGCGGUUGAUACGGGCGGGCUGGAGUUCGGUAGGGGAGACUGGAAUUCCUGGUGUGAGCGGUGAAAUGCGCAGAUAUCAGGAGGAACACCGGUGGCGAAGGCGGGUCUCUGGGCAAUAACUGACGCUGGAGGAGCGAAAGCGUGGGGAGCGAACAGG
rnacentral:rRNA from 1 species